UUAAAAACUUUGAAAAAGGAAAGUAGUUUAAUAUAGAUUUUAAGAGAGGAAAUCAUUUGCUGGAAGAUUUCUAAAUUUACCUUAAAUGAAGUGCCCUUUAGAGUUGUGUACCGAAAUGAUAGUAGGCUGCAUCAGGUUCACCUGUUAUAGUGAUUGGAUAUUUUAUGUAUCUGAAGAGAGAGACAUGUAGUCUAAUUAGAGUGGAACCGCGAAGUUUAAGCUUCGUCUCUAUA
rnacentral:ncRNA from 1 species